rnacentral:rRNA from 1 species
UACGGAGGGUGCAAGCGUUAUCCGGAUUCACUGGGUUUAAAGGGUGCGUAGGUGGGCAGGUAAGUCAGUGGUGAAAUCUCCGGGCUUAACUCGGAAACUGCCAUUGAUACUAUCUUUCUUGAAUACCGUGGAGGUCAGCGGAAUAUGUCAUGUAGCGGUGAAAUGCUUAGAUAUGACAUAGAACACCAAUUGCGAAGGCAGCUGACUACAGGGAUAUUGACACUGAGGCACGAAAGCGUGGGGAUC